rnacentral:rRNA from 1 species
UACAUUGGGUGCAACCGUUGCUCGGAAUUAUUGGGCGUAAAGCGCGCGUAGGCGGUUACUCAAGUCGGAUGUGAAAGCCCUCGGCUUAACUGAGGAAGUGCACCCGAAACUGAGUAGCUAGAGUACCAAAGAGGGUCGCGGAAUUCCCGGUGUAGAGGUGAAAUUCGUAGAUAUCGGGAGGAACACCGGUGGCGAAGGCGGCGACCUGGGUGGAUACUGACGCUGAGGCGCGAAAGCGUGGGGAGCAAACAGG